ACCAGCACCAACUCUUCCUGGGGCCUGGUGUUUAGUUGGGAGGAGGAGUCAUGGGCCCCAUUGAAUCAGCCUGGGGUCAUGGGCCCUGGCUCUGGAAUGGCUACAGCCCCAGGAGGUCCAUACAUCAGAGAACAGGCUUAGGUGGCUGGGGGCGCCUGACCAGGCCCGUAGCCAGCGCCCUGGGAGAGCUGACUCUGGAAUUCUGGACAACGUGGACACUGAGGAAUCAGCUCUGUGUCCCUGGGUCUCAGCCCAGGGGGGUCAUGUGACCACCUCCCCCAUACUCCCUCCACCCCUUGCCCCUUCCUUGUCUGCCUGGAGCCUGGCCCCUGGGGCUCUGUUGGUCUUGGAUCAGAGCUGGCGGGAACUGAUCCCCGUCACCAGCAUGCCUAACCUGAAGGGGCCCCUCUGGAAGUAGGGGAGUUUCAGGGUGGGACAAGGAUGCAGCUGGGAGCUUCUCAAGGUAGAACAGAAAGAGGGUGCUAAGGACCACAAGGGAGGAGCUGCUGUGAACCUCUGCCUCAUCAAGGAUUAAACUACCUGGCUAAGCUACUUGCUAGGAAGCAGCCUGUCAGGUUCCCUGCCUGGUCCUGCCCCUGCAGGGCCUCAAGGUCACCUGGGUAAGUCAGGGACUGGGGCCUGAAGAGAGGCAGGGCUGGCUGUGGAGCAGGAAGCCAGCACCUGCAGUUUGAAUCAGCCCUUAGCCUGUAACUCCUAUCUGACCUUGGCCUUGCCCUUUCCAUGGAGUGGAAGUGGGGUCAGCAGGUGUCUGCCAGCCAGCCAUAAUCCUCCAGCACCUUGUAGGCAAUCUCCACCUCCUUUUUCUUACUUCUAUAUGACCCAGCCCAAGCCCUCCUCCCUGGGAGCUGCCAACUCAGAGCCUGUAGCCUCCUAAUCCUUUCAGCUCUGGCCUGUCUGCUGCCAGCGGUCUCUUCCAGGGUUGUCUCUCCACCUUGAGGCUGAGGGCCUGAAGCAGGGCUCCUCUUCCCUCCAGAUGGCAGAGGCUGCUGGUGUCCAGAGCUGUGGGUGGGCAAGCCCUUGAACAAGGUGGCUGCUUCUGCCUGAAUGCUACUCCUUUCCCCAUUGGUCUUUCCUUCACUCUCCUUCUUCUCCUUCAAGAUUCAUGAAAGGCUGAUGCCUCCGUGAAAACUUGUAUUCAUUGAAUCCCACCAGCAUCUAUUGAUUAAUGUUUGGAUUCAAAUCCUGGUUGUGCUAUUAACUUUGUACUGUUUUUUUUGAGACAGGGUCUUAUUAUGUAGUUCAGGCUGGGCUUGAACUUACUUCGUAGCCUAGGCUGGCUACAAACUGGAACUUGCAGUGAUCCUCCUCCCGAAUGCUAGGAUUACAGACUUGUGUCACCACACCUGGCUUCUGCUAUUAACUUUGGAUGAGCUGGGGCUGGGGAUUUAGCUCAGUGGUUUCAUCGCCUGCUGCGCAAGCGCAAGGACCUGAGUUCGAUCCCCGGUACCAAAACAAAACAAAAACAAAAAAACCCCAAACUUUGGACAAGCUACUUGACGCAUUUGGACCUCAGUGUUUUCCCUUGGAAAUGGGAAUCCCCCCCUCAUAAGGCUGCUGGGAGAAUGAGACAGAGCACGUGUUUAUUGUGGGCACAGCCCAGGAAAUGACAAUCUUUUCGCUCACCUGCUCCUUGCUUGGGUGAGCCAUCCCCCACCACCUUAGUCAACUCUUUCUCUGAAAGACAGUGGCAGCACUGGUGACAAGUUCGAUGACCACAGGGAUCGAACUCGGGACCUUCCACUUGUGUGGCAAGCACCGGAACCACUGAGCUAAAUCCCCCGCCCUACUGUACUAUAUUUUAAAAAUUUAAACAUUCACUUGUAUAUUUUGAUCAUGCUUUGUGUUUUACAUUUAACUGAAGGAACUGAGGCAGAGACCUUAAGCUUGCCCAAAGUCACACAGCCAACAAGUGGUAUUGGUGGUGUGCUAAGAUUUGAACCCAGGCAAGGUGAGUGCCUGCAGAGAUGCGUCUUAAUUAACAGCAGGGAUUCUGGGGCUAGACUGGGUUCCCAUCCCAGAUUUCCCAGGUAUUCGCUCCACCACUCUGUCCUUUGGUUUCCCAUCAGGAAAAUGAGCAAUGAGAGGGAGAAUUGUGCCACUUUCUUGGUGCUAUUGGGUGGAUUAAAUGUACAGGCGCCCGUAAAGCGCUCAGCAGGGCUUGGUGUGUGGAAUGCGCAGCUGAGGAUAUGCCCUUCUUAUACUGGAAGCAAAGAGAGGAAGCCAGUAGGGGGGCAAUGGAGAGGUUGCAGUGACUCCUCAAACCUUUCCCAGUAUCCACUAUUUAUGGACCCUCGCCUGGGUCAGCCAAGACCCCUGGCAGCAGGUGGAGGAGCACCUUGCAGUAGAGGGGAAGAAAGCUUUGCUCUACUUGGAGGUAGCCGUGGAACUUUCUGCACGUUACUCUGGGAGCCCCAGAGGAACAGUGGUGUCCCCCUCGUCAGGUGGUGAUGAGGACCAGGUGAGAUCAUGGUGUGAACAGUUGUACCCAGCUCAAUGCCAAGCACCAGGUGACACUUGACAUAUGGUAGCUACUUCCACCACCUCUAGUGAUCUUGAUGGGUUCCAGGAGGGCUAGACAUGGUGCUAAAAUAAAAUAAGGUGGGCCAGGGAUUUAGCUCAGUGGUUUCGCUGCCUGCUGUGCAAGCGCAAGGGCCUGAGUUCCAUCCCCGGUACCAAAAAACCCCCCACAAAAAACAAAAAACAAAAAAAUAAUAAAAUAAAAUGAUGUGGGAGCAUGGGAGCUGAGGACAGUGUCUAGACACUCAGUCAAGGUUGGUCAGAUGUGACAGAGCCUUGCCGUCUGGCAAGGAUCAGGGACAGGUCAAAGAGGAGGAGCUGGAUUAGUCAGAAAAGGAAGGGGGUGAAGGCCACACCACAUGUCCCUGGGGCCACAGCCUCACCCCAUCUAAGUCAGCACCCUUCGGACCCUGGGUUCUAUGUUCCUGUGACCUGGAAGAUGAGAAGCACGGAUCAUGAGCCCUGGGGACAGUGGCGGACCUCCUGCUCAGUAGAGG
ensembl:lncRNA